UAUAAAACAAAUAAUGAAUGUUUUUAUUCGUGCAAUGGUAAGAAUGUUUUCAUUCGGUGAAGGAUGGAAUGUUCCAUUCAACUCGGCUGUCGCCUCGUUGAAUGAAUGAAACAUUCCAUCUUUCACCAAAUGAAAAUAUUCUUACCAUUGCACGAAUAAAAACAUUGAUUAUUCCUUUUAUU